CCUACGGGUGGCAGCAGUGGGGAAUAUUGGACAAUGGGCGAAAGCCUGAUCCAGCCAUGCCGCGUGUGUGAAGAAGGCCUUCGGGUUGUAAAGCACUUUCAGUGGGGAAGAAAGCCUUGGGGCUAAUACCCUCGAGGAAGGACAUCACCCACAGAAGAAGCACCGGCUAACUCCGUGCCAGCAGCCGCGGUAAUACGGAGGGUGCGAGCGUUAAUCGGAAUUACUGGGCGUAAAGCGCGCGUAGGCGGUCUGAUAAGCCGGUUGUGAAAGCCCCGGGCUCAACCUGGGAACGGCAUCCGGAACUGUCAGGCUAGAGUGCAGGAGAGGAAGGUAGAAUUCCCGGUGUAGCGGUGACAUGCGUAGAGAUCGGGAGGAAUACCAGUGGCGAAGGCGGCCUUCUGGACUGACACUGACGCUGAGGUGCGAAAGCGUGGGUAGCAAACAGGAUUAGAUACCCGGGUAGUC
rnacentral:rRNA from 1 species